AUUUGUGAUAAUGAAGGGAUGAAUUGUGCCUGCUUGGCAGUGUGACAGUGACUUGCAAUUAAUUCUGCUGUUAAUUGUGGGCAGCAGGAACCUGCAGGGCACAAGGGCAGGAGUUUCCUCCCCAGAAAUGUCCCUGAAAUCAGGAGCAAAGGAGUGACACAGCAAAGCCCUGGUGCUGAUCACAGUCCCAGGCUGCUUGAAGAACACCAAAAACCCCAAAUCAAACCUCCAGGAAAAGCACAGGCUGAUGAUUAAUCAAUGCCCAGCCAAUCAAUCCAUUGAAUUCUGGAGCUCCUCACACACUUUGUAAGAGCUGCUGAAGGAGAAGGAUUUGAAAAAAAAACCCAUCAAAUUGAAUGGGUCCAAUGUUCCUCUCUGUUACAGACAAAUUAUCAACACAUUACAAAGGAAGUCUGGAGAAUUCCUCACAUUUGCUGUGCUCUCCAAGCCCUGGAUAACAACAUUUCUGCUGAAAUGCCACCCAGCUUUGCCAAGCGGGAGGAAAAUGCCUCCAAACCCACUCCUGCUCCCUCCUCCACAGCCUAUAAAUACAAACCAGCGUGGAGAUUUACGAGGGAGAAGACAGGAGAGAAAAAAGGCCCAGUCUGGCACUCAGCUCCAGCUGAAGGCUGGUUUACAGAAAUGUGAUUUAUGGCCCAGCUGGCAGCUCAUCCAUGGAGUGAUUUCCUCAUCGCCCAUUUGAGCCACACUUUGAUUUUCCUGGUCUGGAAACCUGGGCUGGGGUGGAAUUUCAGUGAAUUUCAGCCCUGGGAUGAAAAGAAUAAAGCAGUGGGGAAGCCAGGGUGUCCCCAGGACUCCAAGGGAUCAGUGGCAGAUGCUCUGAUGGUGCAGGAGAUCCAGAUUCUCCUGCUGCCCUGGAAGGCCUGAGCUCCACAGGCGUCCCCAAACUCCCACAGGUGUCCCCAGAGCCCUGUGUGUCCCCAAACACCCACGGGUGUCCCCAGAGCCCUGUGUAUCCCCAAACACCCACGGGUGUCCCCAAACCCUCCCCUGUGCCCUGGAUGUGGGCCCACAGGGCCUUCCUCCACCUGGGGCUGUAACAAACACAAAAAGCAACAGGGAUUCCUUCCAUCAAGAGGUCACCAAAACGAUCAGAAAUGGUCCAAAUGGCCGAAAGAUAGCCCCAAAUGACCAAAAUUAUCCACAAAUAUUGACAAAUAUGGGCCAAAAAUAUUGGCCAAAAAUGGGCCAAAAAUGGCCUAAAAUAACUUUGAGUGACGCGAGUGACCACAACCCCAAACUGCCCCAAAGAUGACCCCAAAAUGUCCCAAAACUUUAAAAAAUGGCACAAAAUGCUCCCUUACAACCAUUUAAUUCAGCAUCCCUGACACCUGGAGAGUUGACCCAUUUCUGUGUGAAUUUACAGGCUCCCAGUCUGAGGCACAAACUGGGCAGGCCUUUUGUUUUCAGGGUUAUAACAGAUUGUUCAGGGUUAUAACAGUGUUUUCAGGGUUAUAACAGCUCUUUCGGGGUUAUAACAGUUCUGUUUCUCCUGCCCAGAGCAGCUUCAGCCUCUCAGCUCUAUAUAGCAACCAGAAAAUGCAGUUUGAGUGGUUUGGCUCAGAUUUUGCAGCAGCUGAUAAAGAAGAACCCAGCUGUAAGGGAGCAUUGCCGUCACCUGAGGGCUCUUUGGUGUUCCCCAUGAAAGGAGCUCUGUUCAAAGAGGAACCAGCACCUCAGACCUAAAAUAUCCCAGCUCAUUGAAACCCUCAGCAGAGAGGCCUGUUUCAGUUUUACAGAAGACAAUUGAGGCAGAAAAUGCGGGGUUGUGAGGGUGUUUCUUCUUUUCUUCGACUGAUGUUCACAAUUUUGUG